rnacentral:rRNA from 1 species
CAGGGGGCUCGAGCGUUAGUCGGAAUCACUGGGCUUAAAGGGUGCGUAGGCGGCCCGCCAAGUGCUUUGUGAAAUCCCCGAGCUCAACUCGGGAACAGCAGGGCAAACUGGCGGGCUUGAAGCAGGUAGGGGCUGGAAGAACAGUUGGUGGAGCGGUGAAAUGCGUAGAUAUCAACUGGAAUGCCGAUGGGGAAGCCGUCCAGCUGGGCCUGUCUUGACGCUGAGGCACGAAAGCGUGGGGAGCAAACAGGAUUAGAUACCCUGGUAGUCCACGCCGUAAACGAUGUGCACUAGACUGGUGCGGUUUUGACGCCGUAUCAGUCGCAGUAAAAACGAUAAGUGCACCGCCUGGGGAGUACGGUCGCAAGGCUA